UACGGAGGGUGCGAGCGUUGUCCGGAAUCACUGGGCGUAAAGGGCGCGUAGGUGGCGCAGUAAGUCAACGGUGAAAGUUCGGGGCUCAACCCUGAAUCGGCCGUCGAUACUCCUGGGCUCGAGCACUGUAGAGGCAGGCGGAAUUCCGGGUGUAGCGGUGGAAUGCGUAGAGAUCCGGAAGAGCACCGGUGGCGAAGGCGGCCUGCUGGGCAGUUUUGCUGACACUGAGGCGCGAAAGCGUGGGGAGCAAACAGG
rnacentral:rRNA from 1 species